rnacentral:rRNA from 1 species
AUGAACGCUGGCGGCGUGCCUAAUACAUGCAAGUCGAGCGAACAGACGAGGAGCUUGCUCCUCUGACGUUAGCGGCGGACGGGUGAGUAACACGUGGAUAACCUACCUAUAAGACUGGGAUAACUUCGGGAAACCGGAGCUAAUACCGGAUAAUAUAUUGAACCGCAUGGUUCAAUAGUGAAAGACGGUUUUGCUGUCACUUAUAGAUGGAUCCGCGCCGCAUUAGCUAGUUGGUAAGGUAACGGCUUACCAAGGCAACGAUGCGUAGCCGACCUGAGAGGGUGAUCGGCCACACUGGAACUGAGACACGGUCCAGACUCCUACGGGAGGCAGCAGUAGGGAAUCUUCCGCAAUGGGCGAAAGCCUGACGGAGCAACGCCGCGUGAGUGAUGAAGGUCUUCGGAUCGUAAAACUCUGUUAUUAGGGAAGAACAAAUGUGUAAGUAACUAUGCACGUCUUGCCGGUACCUAAUCAGAAAGCCACGGCUAACUACGUG